rnacentral:tRNA from 2 species
GCCUGGUUAGCUCAGAUGGUAGAGCAUCAGACUUUUAAUCUGAGUGUCAUGGGUUCGAGCCCCAUAUCGGGCG